rnacentral:hammerhead_ribozyme from 1 species
AUCUGGCUGACGAGUCCCAAAUCGGACGAAACGCGCUUUCUAAUUCAAUAU